CUAGCCCUAAACGAUGUCGACUUGACGUCGGUGGCUUAAUCGUCAUCGGUGUCGUAGCUAACGCGAUAAGUCGACCGCCUGGGGACUACGGCCGCAAGGUUAAAACUCAAAGGAAUUGAC
rnacentral:rRNA from 1 species